UACGUAGGUCCCGAGCGUUGUCCGGAUUUACUGGGUGUAAAGGGCGCGUAGGCGGGAUAGCAAGUCAGUCGUGAAAUGCCGAGGCUUAACCUCGGAGCUGCGAUUGAAACUGUUAUUCUUGAGUAUCGGAGAGGAAAGCGGAAUUCCUAGUGUAGCGGUGAAAUGCGUAGAUAUUAGGAGGAACACCAGUGGCGAAGGCGGCUUUCUGGACGACAACUGACGCUGAGGCGCGAAAGUGUGGGGAGCAAACAGG
rnacentral:rRNA from 1 species